rnacentral:rRNA from 1 species
UACGUAGGGUGCGAGCGUUAAUCGGAAUUACUGGGCGUAAAGUGUGCGCAGGCGGCCAAGCAAGUCGAGUGUGAAAGCCCCGGGCUUAACUUGGGAAUUGCGCUCGAAACUACUUGGCUGGAGUGUGGCAGAGGAAGGUGGAAUUCCACGUGUAGCGGUGAAAUGCGUAGAGAUGUGGAGGAACACCAAUGGCGAAGGCAGCCUUCUGGGCCAACACUGACGCUCAUGCACGAAAGCGUGGGGAGCAAACAGG